GAUGAACGCUGGCGGCGUGCCUAAUACAUGCAAGUCGAACGAAGCCUUCGGGCUUAGUGGCGAACGGGUGAGUAACACGUUGGUACCUACCCUCUAGUGGGGAAUAACUGGCCGAAAGGUCGGCUAAUACCGCAUAAUACCGCAAGGUUAAAGCAGCAAUGCGCUAGAGGAGGGGCCUGCGUCCCAUUAGCUUGUUGGUAGUGUAAUGGACUACCAAGGCGACGAUGGGUAGCUGGAUCGAGAGGUUGACCAGCCACACUGGGACUGAGAUACGGCCCAGACUCCUACGGGAGGCAGCAGUAAGGAAUCUUCCACAAUGGACGAAAGUCUGAUGGAGCAGCGCCGCGUGCAGGAUGACGGCCUUCGGGUUGUAAACUGCUUUUAUAUGGGAAGAUUAUGACGGUACCAUAUGAAUAAGGACCGGCUAACUACGUGCCAGCAGCCGCCGUAA
rnacentral:rRNA from 1 species